GCCAGCAGCCAUAUCACUCUACAACUCACAACUGGCAACCCACUGAAGCUAAGCAGGUAUGAGCCUGGUCAGUACCUGGAUGGGAGAUCUCCUGGGAAAAACUAAGGUUGCUGCUGGAA
ensembl:rRNA 5S_rRNA 5S ribosomal RNA